rnacentral:rRNA from 1 species
AGAGUUUGAUCAUGGCUCAGGACGAACGCUGGCGGCGUGCUUAAUACAUGCAAGUCGAGCGAGGUUACUGUUUUGGAUCCCUUCGGGGUGAAGAAGCUUUAACCUAGCGGCGGACGGGUGAGUAACGCGUGGGUAACCUACCCCAAAGUCCGGGAUAACAGCGGGAAACCGCUGCUAAUACCGGAUGUCUUUACCUUGGGGCAUCUUGAGGUAAAGAAAGGUAACGCUUUGGGAUGGGCCCGCGUCCCAUUAGCUAGUUGGUGAGGUAACGGCUCACCAAGGCGACGAUGGGUAGCCGGCCUGAGAGGGUGGACGGCCACACUGGGACUGAGACACGGCCCAGACUCCUACGGGAGGCAGCAGUAGGGAAUAUUGCGCAAUGGACGGAAGUCUGACGCAGCGACGCCGCGUGAGCGAUGAAGGUCUUCGGAUCGUAAAGCUCUGUCCUUGGGGAAGAAGGUCUUCGGACUUGACGGUACCCAAGAAGAAAGCCCCGGCUAACUACGUGCCAGCAGCCGCGGUAAUACGUAGGGGGCGAGCGUUGUCCGGAAUUACUGGGCGUAAAGGGUGCGUAGGCGGCCCUUUAAGUCGGAUGUGAAAGCCCGCGGCUUAACCGCGGAAUGGCAUUCGAAACUGGAGGGCUUGAGUGUCGGAGAGGGUAGUGGAAUUCCCAGUGUAGCGGUGAAAUGCGUAGAUAUUGGGAGGAACACCAGUGGCGAAGGCGACUACCUGGACGAUAACUGACGCUGAGGCACGAAAGCUAGGGGAGCAAACAGGAUUAGAUACCCUGGUAGUCCUAGCCGUAAACGAUGGGUACUAGGUGUGGGUGGUUUCGAUACCAUCCGUGCCGUAGUUAACGCAUUAAGUACCCCGCCUGGGGAGUACGUGCGCAAGCAUGAAACUCAAAUGAAUUGACGG